AAUCUAUGCAAGAUUUGUCUGGCUUCGCAGGAGAACCUAUUGCAUGCACUCUUGGAGUGCUCACAUGCGAGACAGUUCUGGGAAGAGGCGCAGCAACUCUUCGACUUCAAGCUACCGCGGCUCCAUCCUGUGACCUGGGCCGAAGACAUCAUUUGUGAUGACCGCUUUGCUUCCAGGGACCGAGCAGUGACCGUUUCGGUCAUGUGGUCCAUUUGGCACUCGAGGAACAGAUUGACACAUGGUGAGGAUCAGCUCGAUCCGGCAAGCUCUGUACGACGCACUCGGGAGGCGUUAUCUCUUCUUGAGGUGCCGCGGCAACUAGCACUGAUCAUGCCUGGGCAUGGGUGGCGGCCGCCCGACGAGGGUUUCAUCACCAUCAACACUGAUGCGGCAAUCAAACGAGAAGAUGGCAAAGGAGGAGCAGGGGCGUUGCCCGAUCCUCUUGCUCAUUUCUGGGUGCAUGGAGCAAGCCAUACCCCAGAGUUACGGAUCCCUUCAUUGCAGAGGCGAUGGCAGUGCGCGACGAAGUUAUCUUCGCAUGUCUGA
rnacentral:rRNA from 1 species